GACGAACGCUGGCGGCAUGCCUAAUACAUGCAAGUCGAGCGAACAGAUGAAGUGCUUGCACUUCUGACGUUAGCGGCGAACGGGUGAGUAACACGUAAGGAAUCUACCUAUAAGCGGGGGAUAACAUUCGGAAACGGGUGCUAAUACCGCAUAAUAUCUUCUUCCGCAUGGAAGAAGAUUGAAAGACGGCUCUGCUGUCACUUAUAGAUGACCUUGCGGUGCAUUAGAUAGUUGGUGGGGUAACGGCCUACCAAGACGAUGAUGCAUAGCCGACCUGAGAGGGUGAUCGGCCACAUUGGGACUGAGACACGGCCCAAACUCCUACGGGAGGCAGCAGUAGGGAAUCUUCCGCAAUGGGCGAAAGCCUGACGGAGCAGUGCCGCGUGAGUGAAGAAGGCCUUCGGGUCGUAAAACUCUGUUAUAAGAGAAGAACAAAUUGUAGAGUAACUGCUACAGUCUUGACGGUAUCUUAUCAGAAAGCCACGGCUAACUACGUGCCAGCCGCCGCCGUAA
rnacentral:rRNA from 1 species